rnacentral:lncRNA from 1 species
AGGGGAUUUCAGGUUCCAGAACAGCAGGGGAAGAGGAUUUUCAAAUCUCCAAACAAACUUCAUUCCUGCACCUCUGAAGAGCAUUGGCAGGCUUGAAAUGUUUGUCCUCAGUUUCUAGGGCUCCUGUUCCAGCUCCGUUGCCACUGGGGAGAGGUGAGCUGGUCAACCCAUAGCUACGCAAGAGUUCAGCAUAAAGACUGCUGGAAUGCUACCCUGGCUCCACUUUCCUCCAUUCUCUUCCAGGUCAAUUCCUUUGCACCUGGGGGUGGAAUUUCAACGUAUUUCCCUCCUCCUCUAGCCCACUGGCCGUACUUUCACAUUUGGUUCUGCCCCAGAUUUACACAGAAUGAUAUUAAUGAAAAAAGGCACACCCUUGCUUCAGCUUCAAAAAACCAAGAGGAGAUGAAUAACAAAAUGAAAGAACACAUUUUGCCCAAACUUCAACCCCGACUUUCAAUGACAAUGCCUAUAAAGAAUGAGCAGAACGCCAAGAAGACUAGAAUGAAAGCCCAGUCAUCCAAGGCCUGGUUGGAUGAUUUUCGACAAAAUAUAAAGACCGUUAAAAGUCUCAUGAAUCCAGAGAGCAGCUCCAAGGUGGUGGAGAGUGACAAUGAAGCUGCAGAUUCCAGAAAAGGGGUUAGACAUGAAGAGUUUCAUAUAUUCUCACCUUUUGCUGGAGCAAGUUGUGAAAGGUAACAGAAGAGAGAAAAAUCCAAAGUCACAAUUAAUGGACAUUAAAGAGAAAGUACAGUGUUCUGUAGAACUGUCAAUGGGACCCACUGAUCCCUGCAUAAGAAUUCCUGUGGGUGCAUGCUGACCAAAUUUUAAAAUUUAAUGUUCUUGAUUUUGUUAAAUAUUGC